AGGGUUUGAUCAUGGCUCAGGAUGAACGCUAGCGGCAGGCCUAACACAUGCAAGUCGAGGGGUAACAGAAGAAGCUUGCUUCUUGCUGACGACCGGCGCACGGGGGCGUAACGCGUAUGCAACUUACCCUUAACAAAAGGAUAGCCCCGAGAAAUCGGGAUUGAUACUUUAUAAUAUCAAACUUUCGCAUGUUAGUUUGAUUAAAGCUCCGGCGGUUAAGGAUGAGUAUGCGUCCUAUUAGCUAGUUGGUGAGGUAACGGCUCACCAAGGCAACGAUAGGUAGGGGGUCUGAGAGGAUUAUCCCCCACACUGGUACUGAGACACGGACCAGACUCCUACGGGAGGCAGCAGUGAGGAAUAUUGGGCAAUGGACGAAAGUCUGACCCAGCCAUGCCGCGUGCAGGAUGACUGCCCUAUGGGUUGUAAACUGCUUUUAUAUAGGAAGAAACUUUUCUACGUGUAGAAAACUGACGGUACUAUUUGAAUAAGGACCGGCUAACUCCGUGCCAGCAGCCGCGGUAAUACGGAGGGUCCAAGCGUUAUCCGGAUUCAUUGGGUUUAAAGGGUCCGUAGGCGGGCUUUUAAGUCAGAGGUGAAAGCCUGCAGCUCAACUGUAGAACUGCCAUUGAAACUGGAACUCUUGAAUGUGAUUGAAGUGGGCGGAAUAUGUCAUGUAGCGGUGAAAUGCUUAGAUAUGACAUAGAACACCGAUAGCGAAGGCAGCUCACUAAGUCAUGAUUGACGCUGAUGGACGAAAGCGUGGGGAGCGAACAGGAUUAGAUACCCUGGUAGUCCACGCCGUAAACGAUGAUCACUAGCUAUUGGCGAUACACAGUCAGUGGCACAGCGAAAGUGUUAAGUGAUCCACCUGGGGAGUACGAUCGCAAGGUUGAAACUCAAAGGAAUUGACGGGGGCCCGCACAAGCGGUGGAGCAUGUGGUUUAAUUCGAUGAUACGCGAGGAACCUUACCAGGGCUUAAAUGCAGAACGACAGAUUGAGAAAUCAACUCUCUUCGGAACUAUUUACAAGGUGCUGCAUGGUUGUCGUCAGCUCGUGCCGUGAGGUGUCGGGUUAAGUCCCAUAACGAGCGCAACCCCUAUCGUUAGUUGCUAGCAGGUAAUGCUGAGGACUCUAGGAAGACAAACCUCUUCUGAGAGUGGGAAGGUGGGGAUGACGUCAGGUCAGUAUGGCCCUUACGUCCAGGGCUGCACACGUGCUACAAUGCCUGGCCCAAUUGGAAGCAAUACCGCGAGGUGGAGCAAAUCCGUAAAACCAGGCUCAGUUCGGAUUGGAGUCUGCAACUCGACUCCAUGAAGUUGGAAUCGCUAGUAACGGCGUAUCAGCAAUGACGCCGUGAAUACGUUCCCGGGCCUUGUACACACCGCCCGUCACAUCAUGAAAGUCGGUCUUGCCCGAAGUAUGUGAGCUAACCGCAAGGAGACAGCGUCCUAAGGUGGGGCUGGUGAUUGGGAUGAAGUCAUAACAAGGUAACCGUA
rnacentral:rRNA from 1 species